AGGAUCCCUAGUAACGGCGAGCGAACCGGGAAGAGCUCAAAUUUGAAAUCUGGCGUCCCACGGGCGUCCGAGUUGUAAUCUGCAGAGGCGUCUUCCGCCCCGGACCGCGUCCAAGUCCCUUGGAACAGGGUAUCAAAGAGGGUGACAAUCCCGUGCUUGACGCGACCCCCGGUGCUAUGUGAUGCGACCUCAAAGAGUCGAGUUGUUUGGGAAUGCAGCUCAAAACGGGUGGUAAAUUCCAUCUAAGGCUAAAUAUUGGCGAGAGACCGAUAGCGAACAAGUACCGUGAGGGAAAGAUGAAAAGCACUUUGGAAAGAGAGUUAAACAGUACGUGAAAUUGUUGGAAGGGAAACGAUUGAAGUCAGUCGUGUCCGAGGGGUUCAGCCGGUCCUGCCGGUGCACUCCCCUCGGACGGGUCAACAUCGGUUCUGUCCGGCGGACAAGGGCAGGGGGAACGUGGCACCCUCGUGGUGUGUUAUAGCCCCCCGUCGCAUACGUCGGUCGGGACCGAGGAUCGCAGCUCGCCCUCACGGGCCGGGGUUCGCCCACGUCCGAGCUUAGGAUGUUGACGUAAU
rnacentral:rRNA from 1 species